GGCUCUUUGGAAUAAAUAUAUAAAGAGUCGAACCUGCCCAGUGAUUUUUUUAAACGGCCGCGGUACUCUGACCGUGCAAAGGUAGCAUAAUCAUUUGCCCUAUAAUUGAGGGCUUGUAUGAACGGUUUGACAAGAGCAUAAUUGUCUCUUAAAAAUUUUAUAGAAUUUGGUUUUUAGGUGAAGAAACCUAAAUAUAAUUGAAAGACAAGAAGACCCUAUCGAGCUUUAGAGCAAUUAAUUAAAAAAUAUAAUUAAAACAAUUAAUUUUAAUUAAAAACUUUGGUUGGGGCGACUGAGGAACAUAUAAAGCUUCUUUAAUUAGAAUACGCUUAUAGGCUAUGAUCCAAAAAGUUUGAUUAAAAAAAUUAGUUACCGUAGGGAUAACAGCAUAAUCUUUUUCAAGAGUUCUUAUCGAAAAAAAGGUUUGUGACCUCGAUGUUGGACUAGGAUAUCUCAAAGAUGCAGAAGUCUUUAAUAGUUGGUCUGUUCGACCAUUAAAAUCCU
rnacentral:rRNA from 1 species